UUUAUAAUUUUUUUGUUUCGUCAUUAGACGAAUAUUUAUAGUUUUUGGGAUUUUUAAAAACCUACCUUCACCAUCACACAUGGACAAGUUGCUUCCCCAUAGGUGAUGCGUAAUGGUAGGCGUUUAAAAUAAAAACACUGAGUCUUGAAGACCCUUUUUUAAUGAUCCUUCCGCAGGUUCACCUACGGAAA
rnacentral:misc_RNA from 1 species